rnacentral:rRNA from 1 species
UGGGGAAUCUUGCGCAAUGGGCGAAAGCCUGACGCAGCCAUGCCGCGUGAAUGAUGAAGGUCUUAGGAUUGUAAAAUUCUUUCACCGGGGACGAUAAUGACGGUACCCGGAGAAGAAGCCCCGGCUAACUUCGUGCCAGCAGCCGCGGUAAUACGAAGGGGGCUAGCGUUGCUCGGAAUUACUGGGCGUAAAGGGCGCGUAGGCGGACAUUUAAGUCAGGGGUGAAAUCCCAGAGCUCAACUCUGGAACUGCCUUUGAUACUGGGUGUCUUGAGUGUGAGAGAGGUAUGUGGAACUCCGAGUGUAGAGGUGAAAUUCGUAGAUAUUCGCAGGAACACCAGUGGCGAAGGCGACUUGCUGGACUUAUGGUGACGCUGAGACGCGAAAGCGUGGGGAGCAAACAGGAUUAGAUACCCACGUAGUCCCUGAGCGGGCUGGCAAGGCGCAU